UACGUAGGGCGCAAGCGUUGUCCGGAAUUAUUGGGCGUAAAGAGCUCGUAGGCGGCCUGUUGCGUCCGCUGUGAAAUCCCGGGGCUUAACCCCGAGCCUGCAGUGGAUACGGGCAGGCUAGAGUUCGGUAGGGGAGACUGGAAUUCCUGGUGUAGCGGUGAAAUGCGCAGAUAUCAGGAGGAACACCGGUGGCGAAGGCGGGUCUCUGGGCCGAUACUGACGCUGAGGAGCGAAAGCGUGGGGAGCGAACAGG
rnacentral:rRNA from 1 species